GUCGUAACAAGGUUUCCGUAGGUGAACCUGCGGAAGGAUCAUUACCACACCAAAAAAUUACCAACGUGAAUGUAUUCUUUAUAAGGUUUGUGCUUUACGCAAGUAAGGCUAACCGAAGGUUUCGAAAGGAACCGAUGUAUUUCUAAUCCCUUUUAAAAAAUUACUGAAACAAAUAGCAGUCAGAAAUGAUUGCUUUAAAUUGAAAUACAACUUUCAACAGCGGAUGUCUAGGCUC
rnacentral:misc_RNA from 1 species